UACGUAGGGGGCGAGCGUUGUCCGGAAUCAUUGGGCGUAAAGAGCGUGUAGGCGGCCCGGUAAGUCCGCUGUGAAAGUCCAGGGCUCAACCCUGGGAUGCCGGUGGAUACUGUCGGGCUUGAGUACGGAAGAGGCGAGUGGAAUUCCUGGUGUAGCGGUGAAAUGCGCAGAUAUCAGGAGGAACACCAAUUGCGAAGGCAGCUCGCUGGGACGUUACUGACGCUGAGACGCGAAAGCGUGGGGAGCAAACAGG
rnacentral:rRNA from 1 species